rnacentral:tRNA from 1 species
GGUUGUGGCUCAGCGGUAGAGUGUUCGCCUUGCAUGUAUGAGACACUGGGUUCGAUUCUCCGCAUCA